CUGUUUUUGGUUAUUAUCUUGAAUAUUAUUAUAGAUAGAGAUAAACUGUAAACAGCAAUAAUGUUCAGCAAAGUAAGAUCUACAAAUAAGUCAAACAUGACCAAAAUGGUCAGUUGACCACUUUAGGAGUUAUUGCCCUUUAUAGUCAAUUUUUAACCAUUUUUUCGUAAAUCUUAGUAAUCUUUUAGAAAAAUCUUCUCCUCUGAAACUACUGGGCCAAAUUUAACCAAACUUGGCCACAAUCAUUAUUGGGGUAUCUAGUUUAAAAAAUGUGUCCGGUGACCCGUCCAACCAACCAAGAUGGCCGCCAUGGCUAAAAAUAGAACAUAGGGGUAAAAUGCAGUUUUUGGCUUAUAACUCAAAAACCAAAGCAUUUAGAGCAAAUCUGACAGGGGUAAAAAUUGUUCAUCAGGUCAAGAUCUAUCUGCCCUGAAAUUUUCAGAUGAAUCGGACAUUCCGUUGUUGGGUUGCUGCCCCUGAAAUGGUAAUUUUAAGGAAAUUUUGCUGUUUUUGGUUAUUAUCUUGAAUAUUAUUAUAGAUAGAGAUAAACUGUAAACAGCAAUAAUGUUCAGCAAAGUAAGAUCUACAAAUAAGUCAACAUGACCAAAAUGGUCAGUUGACCACUUUAGGAGUUAUUGCCCUUUAUAGUCAAUUUUUAACCAUUUUUCGUAAAUCUUAGUAAUCUUUUAGAAAAAUCUUCUCCUCUGAAACUACUGGGCCAAAUUUAACCAAACUUGGCCAUAAUCAUCAUUGGGGUAUCUAGUUUAAAAAAUGUGUCCGAUGACCCGCCCAACCAACCAAGAUGGCCGCCAUGGCUAAAAA
rnacentral:lncRNA from 1 species